rnacentral:tmRNA from 2 species
GGGGGCGUACAGGUUUCGACAGGUAAUGGCUGAAAUAUUAGAAGCGUGCUAGCUUGAGUUAUCGUAGCUUAAAAAUGGUAACAAAAAAUAAACGCUAACGAAAAUUUAGCUUUAGCUGCGUAAUUAUAAGUCAGCUCGGGCGACAUGUUUAGCUUACUGAAAUAUGGCGCUUGUUAAAGUAAAGUAAGGCGAAACUGCUUUUUUGCUUGAUAUAGGCAGUUUUAAGAAUUUAAUCAAGAUAACCUAUGUUUUAAGGUUGGCAUUAAAAUAUAGGCGAAAAAUAAUAGCCAACUGUGGCACGGAGAAGGGUAUUUGCAGUUGUUAUUUGGACGCGGGUUCGAUUCCCGCCGCCUCCACCA